rnacentral:rRNA from 1 species
GGAUAGAGGCCUACCAUGGUUUUAACGGGUAACGGGGAAUUAGGGUUCGAUUCCGGAGAGGGAGCCUGAGAAACGGCUACCACAUCCAAGGAAGGCAGCAGGCGCGCAAAUUACCCAAUCCCGACACGGGGAGGUAGUGACAAUAAAUAACAAUACAGGGCUCUUACGGGUCUUGUAAUUGGAAUGAGUACAAUUUAAAUCCCUUAACGAGGAACAAUUGGAGGGCAAGUCUGGUGCCAGCAGCCGCGGUAAUUCCAGCUCCAAUAGCGUAUAUUAAAGUUGUUGCAGUUAAAAAGCUCGUAGUUGAAUUUCGGGGUUCUACCGUUGGUCGGGCUAACCAGUCUGUACUAGCGUGUAGAAUUCCUACCUUCUGGGGAACCAUCAUGUUAUUAAUUUAGCGUGGUGGGAAACCAGGACCUUUACCUUGAAAAAAUUAGAGUGUUCAAAGCAGGCUUACGUCUGAAUACAUUAGCAUGGAAUAAUAGAAUAGGACGGUGGUCCUGUUUUGUUGGUUUCUGAAUCACCGUAAUGAUUAAUAGGGAUAGUUGGGGGCAUUAGUAUUCAAUUGUCAGAGGUGAAAUUCUUGGAUUUAUUGAAGACUAACUUCUGCGAAAGCAUUUGCCAAGGAUGUUUUCAUUAAUCAAGAACGAAAGUUAGGGGAUCGAAGACGAUCAGAUACCGUCGUAGUCUUAACCAUAAACUAUGCCGACUAGGGAUCGGACGAUGUUAA